AGCCCGGCGGGAACCGCGGCGGCGGAGUGGCGCAGCGCCCGUCUGUGAAUAGCGGCCUCCUGUCCCCCGCGCCAUCUUGAGCACUCGCUGGGGGCCGCGUUCCCCCUCCCUCUUCAAGAUGGCGCUCGCCGGCCGGACACACAGGCGGCGGCGGCGAGGGACGGAGCCGCGGCGGGAGCGGGGCUGCGCCGCCCGCCCGGCGCCUCCUUUGUCUGCGGCCUCGGCAAGAAGGAGUCCAGCCUUGGCCGCUGAGGUGUCUGGGCACUGACCCUGUCCGUAGGAUGCUGCUGCUUUUGCUGAGCUGGAUGAAAAACUGUUAGUUUCACGGUGCUUGGAGGGCACCUGGAUUUGGGCUGAAGAGAAAGUGUCUGCAUUUCUUCCUGUGCUUAGACUUUAUUAUUCACAUGGCACC